UCUUGAUCCAGAGCACUUAGCAGAGAUGCUUUGGUGCCUUCGGGAACUCUGAGACAGGUGCUGCAUGGCUGUCGUCAGCUCGUGUUGUGAAAUGUUGGGUUAAGUCCCGCAACGAGCGCAACCCUUAUCCUUUGUUGCCAGCGGUCCGGCCGGGAACUCAAAGGAGACUGCCAGUGAUAAACUGGAGGAAGGUGGGGAUGACGUCAAGUCAUCAUGGCCCUUACGAGUAGGGCUACACACGUGCUACAAUGGCAUAUACAAAGAGAAGCGACCUCGCGAGAGCAAGCGGACCUCAUAAAGUAUGUCGUAGUCCGGAUUGGAGUCUGCAACUCGACUCCAUGAAGUCGGAAUCGCUAGUAAUCGUGGAUCAGAAUGCCACGGUGAAUACGUUCCCGGGUUUGGUACACACCG
rnacentral:rRNA from 1 species